rnacentral:rRNA from 1 species
UACAGAGGGUGCGAGCGUUAAUCGGAAUUACUGGGCGUAAAGCGUGCGUAGACGGUUAUUUAAGUCUGGUGUGAAAGCCCCGGGCUCAACCUGGGAAUUGCAUUCGAGACUGAAUAGCUAGGGUACGGUAGAGGGAAGCGGAAUUUCCGGUGUAGCGGUGAAAUGCGUAGAUAUCGGAAGGAACAUCAGUGGCGAAAGCGGCUUCCUGGACCAGUACCGACGUUCAGGCACGAAAGCGUGGGGAGCAAACAGG